GCGGGUGUAGUUCAAUGGUAGAACGAGAGCUUCCCAAGCUCAAGACGACGGUUCGAUCCCGUUCGCCCGCUCCA
rnacentral:tRNA from 1 species